AAUCAACGCUGGCGGCGUGCCUCAGACAUGCAAGUCGAACGAUUAAAGCUCUCUUCGGAGAGUGUAUAGAGUGGCGCACGGGUGAGUAACACGUAAGUAAUCUACCUUUGAGUGGGGAAUAACAAUCGGAAACGAUUGCUAAUACCGCAUAAUGCAGCGGCAUCGCAAGAUGACAGUUGUUAAAGGAGCAAUCCGCUUAAAGAGGAGCUUGCGGCAGAUUAGCUAGUUGGUAAGGUAAUGGCUUACCAAGGCUACGAUCUGUAUCCGGUCUAAGAGGACGGUCGGACACACUGACACUGAAUAACGGGUCAGACUCCUACGGGAGGCAGCAGUCGGGAA
rnacentral:rRNA from 1 species